rnacentral:rRNA from 1 species
GACGAACCGAGCGAACGUUAUUCGGAAUCACUGGGCUUAAAGGGCGCGUAGGCGGGUCAGCAAGUCAGGGGUGAAAUCCCACGACUCAACCGUGGAAGUGCCUUUGAUACUGUUGAUCUCGAGGGAGGUAGGGGCGUGCGGAACUUCCGGUGGAGCGGUGAAAUGCGUAGAUAUCGGAAGGAACACCGGUGGCGAAAGCGGCGCGCUGGACCUCUUCUGACGCUGAGGCGCGAAAGCCAGGGGAGCAAACGGG